CCUACGGGAGGCAGCAGUGGGGAAUAUUGGGCAAUGGAGGAAACUCUGACCCAGCAACGCCGCGUGAAUGAUGAAGGUCCUCUGAUUGUAAAGCUUUUUUUUACGGGAAGAAGAAAGUGCCGCUACCUUAGGAUUAAGCCUAGGCUAACUACGCGCCAGCAGCCGCUGCAUUACGUAGGCCGCGAGCGUUAUCCGGAAUGGCUGGGGGUAAAGGGUGCGUAGGUGGUUUGGCAAGUUAGUAGCGAAACUAUCAGGCUCAACCGUGGAACUGCUACUGAAACUGGUGGACUUGAGUGCAGGAGAGGCAUCCGGAAUGCGUGGUGUAGCGGUGGAAUGCGUAGAUAUUAGGAAGAACACCAGUGGCGAAGGCAGGUUGCUGGACUGUAACUGACACUGAGGCACGAAAGCGUGGGGAGCAAACAGGAUUAGAUACCCUUGUAGUC
rnacentral:rRNA from 1 species